UGCUGGACACAACACGCAUUU
rnacentral:piRNA from 1 species